UUCCCUUGAACGAGGAAUUCCCAGUAAGCGCGAGUCAUUAGCUCGCGUUGAUUACGUCCCUGCCCUUUGUACACACCGCCCGUCGCUACUACCGAUUGAAUGGUUUAGUGAGGUCCUCCGAUUGGACCCGGUCCGGGCGGCGACGUCCGAGCCGGCGUCCGAGAAGACGAUCUAACUUGAUCAUUUAGAGGAAGUAAAAGUCGUAACAAGGUUUCCGUAGGUGAACCUGCGGAAGGAUCAUUA
rnacentral:ncRNA from 1 species